rnacentral:rRNA from 1 species
CCUACGGGUGAGCAGCAGUGGGGAAUAUUGGGCAAUGGGCGCAAGCCUGACCCAGCAACGCCGCGUGAAGGUAGAAGGCUUUCGGGUUGUAAACUUCUUUUGUCAGGGAAGAGUAGAAGACGGUACCUUACGAAUAAGCCACGGCUAACUAGGUGCCAGCAGCCGCGGUAAUACGUAGGUGGCAAGCGUUGUCCGGAUUUACUGGGUGUAAAGGGCGUGUAGCCGGGUUGACAAGUCAGAUGUGAAAGCCUGUGGCUUAACCGCAGAACUGCAUUUGAAACUGUUGAACUUGAGUACUGUAGAGGCAGACGGAAUUCCUGGUGUAGCGGUGAAAUGCGUAGAUAUUAGGAAGAACACCAGUGGCGAAGGCAGUCUACUGGACAGCAACUGACGGUGAGGCACGAAAGCGUGGGGAGCAAACAGGAUUAGAUACCCUUGUAGUC